CACACAACCUUUAAAAAUAGCAGCAGGCAAGUAGACCCUCUUUCUUUCUUUCUUCCUAACCGGGUAAGGUUCUCAGUUGGUCUCGGUAUGUGGCCAGAAUCCUAGGACCGAACUGCGGGUAUCACUUGGUACUUCCGAGAGGUGGGGUUACUUUCACUUGCGUGCGUGAUGACGUCGGAAGCAUAUUGACGCGUUUUGCCGUAACGACUGCUUCCUCAGAUCUACCUUCUUACUGCCUGUGUCCCACUUAUAAGUCCACCCUGAGUGGGUGUGUUCAUCAAAUAGUCCGUAAAAACAGCCUAGGGAUUGGCUAAUGUUCAAAGACUCAUUUGCAUAUCCAAUUAAGUCUCAAUCACAGAUUUUGUCCGCAGAAAAAGUUGAUAUACAGCUUGAAACAGAGUACAUCAGAAUACAGAUAAAUUAAAACGAAGGAUUACAUUUAAUCAAGAACAACUACAUAGAUAAAAAUUAUUUGUAUUAAAAAUGGUUAUAUUGAAAAAGGAAAUUCCAUGUAAAAUAAAAACUUAUAUUAAGCAUAUACACUUAUUAAUAAUAUAUUUUGCACUGAUCCAUAGGCAUAUAGAGAAACCAUACAAAACAUUAUAAAUAUUAUAAUACAAAUACAACUUGGAAUAACUAUCUAUUAGAGAUAAUCUUCUACUAAUAGAGGGAAAGAAAAUGAAAUAUAGUAAAAUCAUUAUACAAGAAUAUCAUGAAUAAAUCAUUUUUUUUCAAAAAUAUCAUUAAAAAAUUUUAAAUUAUUUUUUAAAAUCAAAAUCAAUAUUAAGACCAAAAGGUUCGAGUGUACAAACUAAAUAAAGUGGAGUGGCUAAUAUGACUGUCAGACAGCAUGUAUUCACACCAGGCUGACCUGGCAGUAAUGUGGGUGAGCCUGUCCCCAUGUCUGGGAGGGUCC